rnacentral:rRNA from 1 species
AGAGCGAACGCUGGCGGCAGGCCUAACACAUGCAAGUCGAACGGAUCCUUCGGGAUUAGUGGCGGACGGGUGAGUAACACGUGGGAACGUGCCUUUUGGUUCGGAAUAACUCAGGGAAACCUGUGCUAAUACCGGAUGUGCCCUUCGGGGGAAAGAUUUAUCGCCAUUAGAGCGGCCCGCGUCUGAUUAGCUAGUUGGUAGGGUAAAGGCCUACCAAGGCUACGAUCAGUAGCUGGUCUGAGAGGAUGAUCAGCCACACUGGGACUGAGACACGGCCCAGACUCCUACGGGAGGCAGCAGUGGGGAAUCUUGGACAAUGGGCGCAAGCCUGAUCCAGCCAUGCCGCGUGAGUGAAGAAGGCCUUCGGGUUGUAAAGCUCUUUUACCAGGGACGAUAAUGACGGUACCUGGAGAAUAAGCCCGGCAAACUUCGUGCCAGCAGCCGC